rnacentral:rRNA from 1 species
UGAGGAAUAUUGGUCAAUGGACGAGAGUCUGAACCAGCCAAGUAGCGUGAAGGAUGACUGCCCUAUGGGUUGUAAACUUCUUUUAUAUGGGAAUAAAAUGUUCCACGUGUGGGAUUUUGUAUGUACCAUAUGAAUAAGGAUCGGCUAACUCCGUGCCAGCAGCCGCGGUAAUACGGAGGAUCCGAGCGUUAUCCGGAUGUAUUGGGUUUAAAGGGAGCGUAGGUGGAUUGUUAAGUCAGUUGUGAAAGUUUGCGGCUCAACCGUAAAAUUGCAGUUGAAACUGGCAGUCUUGAGUACAGUAGAGGUGGGCGGAAUUCGUGGUGUAGCGGUGAAAUGCUUAGAUAUCACGAAGAACUCCGAUUGCGAAGGCAGCUCACUGGACUGCAACUGACACUGAGGCUCGAAAGUGUGGGUAUCAAACAGG